rnacentral:lncRNA from 1 species
AUGGGUAGGGUGAGGCGCCCACCUCUGCAUCGGGGUCCCAGACUUGUAGUCGAUGUCCAGCACAAUGGCCUCGGGGUUGCUGGGCAGGUAGCAGCCUGUGCAGGGACAGAGGCAGUCACGGGAGCGCAUGUGUCACCACAGGUGAGCCAGAGUCAGUUUCCAACACGGAUGUUACGUGCGUGUCCACCCUGCAGGCACACCCCGAGGCCAUUGUGCUGGACAUCGACUACAAGUCUGGGACCCCGAUGCAGAGUGCUGCAAAAGCCCAUAUCUGGCCAAGUUCAAGGUGAAGCGAUGUGGAGUUAGUGAACUUGAAAAAGCAGGUCUGCGGUGCCGCUCAGACUCCGAGGAUGAGUGCAGCACGCAGGAGGCCAACGGCCAGAAGAUCUCCUGGCAGGCAGCCAUCUUCAAAGUGGGAGACGACUGCCGGCAGGUAAGCAGGGUCAGGCCUCGAGUAGGCUUGGGGACUGGGCUUGCUGCUCCCCAAGGCUCCAGGCCCGCCAGAGUCCAAUCUCAUAUGCAGAAAUGUGAAUCUUUUCCUUCUCUUAUAUGGUUCAGGUGCCACGGGGUAAAUUAGGGCUU